AGUGAACGCUGGCGGCAGGCCUAAUACAUGCAAGUCGAACGGCAGCACAGCAGAGCUUGCUCUGUGGGUGGCGAGUGGCGGACGGGUGAGGAAUACAUGGGAAUCUGCCCAGUCGUGGGGGAUAACGUAUGGAAACGUACGCUAAUACCGCAUGCGCCCUAAGGGGGAAAGCCGGGGACCGCAAGGCCUGGCGCGAUUGGAUGAGCCCAUGUUCGAUUAGCUAGUUGGCGGGGUAAAGGCCCACCAAGGCGACGAUCGAUAGCUGGUCUGAGAGGAUGAUCAGCCACACUGGAACUGAGACACGGUCCAGACUCCUACGGGAGGCAGCAGUAGGGAAUAUUGGACAAUGGGGGCGAACCCUGAUCCAGCCAUGCCGCGUGAGUGAAGAAGGCCCUCGGGUUGUAAAGCUCUUUUGUCCGGAAGAAAAGCAAUCGGUUAAUACCGGUUGUCCUGACGGUACCGGAACGAAUAAGCACCGG
rnacentral:rRNA from 1 species